CCGACCAGAGCGCAUCCAUCCAGUCAAAUGACUGGCAUUGGGACAAACCAAGAGCCUGUGUCCCUAUUGGUUAAAGCCCAGGGGCUUCAGCAAACAAAGGGGGCGCUGGUUGGUGGAGGGGGGACCAAUGAGAAGGCUCAACACGGGUGUCAAAGGCGCGCGGAAGCCACACGCUGUCGGGAACACGGUACUUCCGCCUGCCGUGAGGGCGGCGGUGUCCUGAAGGCCUCGUUGUUCCUGUCCCGUGGCCUGCUUGGCUGGGCUUGGUUGAGCUCGACCGUCUCCCCAUAGGCCAGGGUGCCUGAACUGGCGCCAUGAGCUCCCGCGAUAAGGUGUCCGUUUGGGGGGCCGGUUUCGACCUGGAGGGUGGCGAGCAGGCUGGCACCUGCACAGUCAGCCCCGGAGCCCCACAGGGCCACAGCCGAGGCCUCGAUUUGGGGGCACCGCACAGCAGUAAGGGCGAGAGCAGGUUCACAGAUCCCGAGGGAUUCAGCUUCGAGUCUGAGAGCGAAUUGAUAGAGCAGGGAAGGGUGGUGCUCUGGGGACAGGAAGGCCGGCCUGACACCCCGGUCGACGACCAAGGGGACGGUGUGGACUACUCGUCCUACCUGAUUGAUGAGCCAGCCGCCAUCGUGCCACCGUCCAGCAUCCAGGGACACCCGUUCCCUGAAGGUGCCGCUACUGAAGGGUCCACUGAAAACUGGGUGGACCUGGAGGUCGGUGCCAGUGGGAGAGGCGCGCUGAGCCCCAGCCCUGGAGAAUGGCAGCAGGCCUCUGCCGGCCCUCUCCACCUCAGUGUUCCUGGACCAGGCCGGGCCUGGAAGAACCCAGAAAGGGGCUCGAAGAGCAGAUGGAGCGUCCGCGUGGACCCCCAGCAGCCCUCUGUAAAAGGCCCCACCGGGAUGUCUACCCACGACUCUGAUUCCUCCGAUGAGACCAGUGACUUACCACUGAUGAGGGUGGGCAUUCGCCACAAAGAAGGAAGCCAAGCCAAGUUCGGCAGCCACAAGAAGCCAGCAGACACAUCCAGACACUCAAGCUUCCACUGUAAGGAGAGUUACUUGCCCGUGCCAGGCCGUUUCCUGACCUCUGCUCCCUGCGUACUCACUCCAGUCGUGGAGAGGCCGGCUGUGGGAGAGCUGGAGGACUCUCCCGGGAAGAAAAUGCUGAGCAGGGCCUUAGGAAAGGUGGAGGCCAGGCCCAGCUGCUCAGAAGCUGCCACUGCAGGGGCCCUGCCCCGGGGCCCUUCGAGGAGGAAGAUGGCCCAGGAGAAGUCUGUAGGGGGUGCCUCUCAACUGGCCCUAUGGAGACCCUUUCCUGCCUGUGGAGAGAGACUCUCAGCCGCUCCCCCAGGGCCGGCCACCUCCCAGCCAUUGCCUGGUGUGCGGCCGCAGGGGAUGUCCAAGAAACCCCAAAAGCCUAAGCACAGCAGCCCUGGGAAGAAACCAGCAGGAAGGAAGACCAGGGAGUCCCAGGCUGCGGCCAGAGAAGAUAAUGACCCAAAUAGAGAUGAGGUCCCCAGGGCCCAACUUCCCACACACAGGCCAGGACUGCCUCGCCUAUCCAUGCAUCGUGGAGAAUUCAGCAGUAGCGACCCCAACAUCAGAGCUCCCCAAGUUCCGGGGACUUCAGAGCCCUCUGCCUACAGCCUGGGAGGCCUCAUACCCAGACGCCAUGCACCCUCCGGUGACCAGCAGCCACCUGUCCAUCCCCCAAGACUGGAAAGGCAGCAGCAGCCCCUGGGAGCCCAGGGCUGUCCUCGGUGCAUCUGGCUGCAGAGGGAAAUUGAGGACCUUAGAGACCAACUAGGUAUGAGGGAGCCCUGGCUGGGGCAGGGAUGGACAGCGGUGUCUUUCUGCAGGUGCCGGGGGCAGGGUGGACUGUAGGUACAGGCAGCAUCACUGGGACUGACUUUCCUUUGGGGAAGAGAACCAAGGAGGCCUGGCCCUGGAGCCUUCUGUGCCUUUCCAGCUAGGGGUGUGCACAGACAGCAACGUGUCGUCUGAACACUGUGUACAUUUGGUCCAUGAGUCCCAGAACUCUCCUUCUCUUACAACGGUUGGAGAUACCUCAUGUGUUUUCCCUUUAACUGCUGCCUGGUAGGGCUUGUAUGGUGUUUGCUUGCUGGCUGGCUUAUCUGUCUUUGAAACACAUUCUGAAUGGUUCUGGGAUGCCCCAGCACCUGAGAACCACUUUCCGGCUUAGAAGGCAUUUCCACAUUUAAUUCAGGUGACGGGUGGAUGAGUCAGUCCCAGGGCUGGUGGGGUUUCUGGUUGCAGGGCUAGGUGGUUCCCCACGGGGGCAGGGGGUGGGUUUCUGUUUCCCUGCGUCUAGAGUGCCUGGUUCUGCCUCUCUGUUUCAGCGGCCAUGCAGUCCUUCACUGACAAGUUCCAGGACCUUUGAAGUUGGAACCAGCAUGUUCCUACAAGAUGAGCAGCUGCCACCUUUGGAGCUCCGGAGCUGCAGCCAAGCGGGUUCCCUCCAUAUCCUCUUCAGCCAGGGCUUCUUCUCUUCUGCUGCAUUUGCCCCCUUCCCAACGCAGUUUAAAGCAGUUUGAAAUAAAGUCGUUCUCAUAUUCUGUG